UUAUGAUUUUAAAAUAUAUAUUGAAAUCAUGUGUUAUUCGUUUAAUGAUUCAUAAAUUCUAAUUCAAAUCAAGUGUUAUUCGUUUAAUGAUUCAUAAAUUCUAAUUCAAAUCAAAUGUUAUUCAAUCAUACGGAUUUACUAAUAGAUUUGAUUUCAUAAUGUAUUUGAAUGGAUUUGCAUGGAUUUCUUUGUGAAAAAUACAAAGACCCAAAUCCGAAGGAAAACCUCCGGAUUUGUAAAUACUAAUCCGAAAAAAUUGAAAAUUUAUAUAUUCUACUUGGAUUUAUAAAUACUAUAUUGAUUUCUAAAUCAAUAAAAAUAUAUAAACCAAUAACACCUCCUAAGUUUGGAUUAUCUAUUUAUUUAGUUUAAAAAUUAUUUUAUUUGAACAACUCGAAUCAAAUUUUUGGUUAAAUACAUAUAAUUUUUUGGAUAUCCUAACACCGAAUAUCGAACUGCUAGAGAUCAAAUUAGAUGAGGAAUUUGAUGGUCAGGAUAAAACGAACCGGAUCACGAUUAUCUCGAAAAUACAAAUACGAAUAUUUGUUUCGUUCCCACCACUAACAUAUACAAUAGUGAAUUUAUAGGUCUUUGAUGCGUUGCUAUUAUGUUUCAUUAGUUGAGUGAUUUAAAUUAUUCAGUUUUUUUUUCAACUUUUGGCAUUUAUUUUAAUAUUUCAAUAUGUGUACUCCAAAUUUUGUUGUAGAAGUGUUGUUUCGAGUUUAGAUAGUUAACCCAUUCUUUGGGCGUCUUCAUUGCAAUUUUGUAUAUUGUAUUUCCUAGGUUUCACUAUUUAUCAUUUUGGUGACCGGGUCAUUAUCCUAAUUUAGAUUUGAGUGGAUCUUUAUAUUAUUUGAAUGAUCAUAGUUGUCACUUUAUUACAAUUGGUUAUUUUGCAAUUUUUCGUUUUGACUGUAUUGUGAUUUCUAAAUGUAAUUCAAUAAUAACAAAAACGCUCUCUUCUCUCUCUAAGAACUUGCAGACAACAAGGCGGCCGAAAACCCUAGCUCCGACGUCGAUUCGCGGCGUCGGAGGCUCACCUUCUCUACCCUAACUCUCUUUUCCCCUUUGCUUCCACCUCCACGCUCAACCUAUGCCGAUAUGUGUGAAUCUCUGUGCUGCCGUACUCCUUCAUGACUACUUUCAGUCAACCAAGGUGGUUCCGGCUUCUUAUGGAGAGACGACGAGGCACAAGGAAGAACGACGGAGGUGGGAGUCGGCUUUUAGGACUGACGGUAGCGGCAGAUCCAGUUUUUCCCCUUUUUCGAUCUACGUUGCUACUGUCACGGUGACGGCGCGUGACGCGGCGAGACAACUCCUAGAGACCGGAUCUACCUUUCCCUGAGGCGGUGAGACGGUUGGAGGAGGAACGUAACAGACGGCGAACAGAGGUAUGUCUCUUCGGUCCUCGGAGAGACGACGUGCUGCAAGGGCUUCGACGAUGGUAGAGUCAACCGGAGGAGAGGCUUUUGCGAUUCAAGCGCGGUGGAGACUAGCUUCCCAGCGCCGGAAACGGACUAGUGGUCCGCUUUUAUUCCGGACGGUCAUGUUCGGUUUCAGGCUCAGAGCCGGGGUAGUGAUAGCUGGAAGGGAUGAUGCUUGUCCGGUACGCACCGGUGGUGUUGUAUCUGUUGGAACAUGUACGGAAUUCAAAUCAUUAGGGGUCCAAUGGUUUGGAUUAGAAUGAAUGUCGGUCUAGUGUCUUGAUCUUCUUGUAAUUCAUUACGCUGGCUGGGUGGUCUAAUUUAGGGUGUAAGAGCCGGUUUAUCUCGAGUCGUGGGAUAAACUCGGCUCGGAGUGGUGAAAGUUACAGCGACGCACUGAUUAGGUAGCGUAGGAUCCAACUUAGUGAUUCUAGGUGUUACUAGAUCGCGUCGUUUGUACGUCGGGUUGAAAACUCGUGUGGUUGUAAUCCCGUGUUCACAAUUUGGAAAAUGAAAGUUGAUGUUGAGUAAAAAAAAAAAAAUGUAAUUCAAUAAUCAAUAUUUUAUAUAGUUUAAUACAUAAUAGUGAUCGUAUAAUGAUUUGAUGUCUGGACAUAUUUAUUUGAAAUAUAUCAUAAAUUAACAUCAGCCUCAUGAUCCUCCUUAAAAAUUCAAAUAUCUUUAAAUGUUUUUCUAUAUGCUACACAUAUCUAUUGAAUAUUCACAAAUUUUUACGAUUGGACCAAGUCUUUUGCUUUUAUCAUUGUUUGGACAACUCCACCUCUGGCCAACAGCUCAAGCAUUAUCUGAAAAAAUUAGAAUAUAUAUAUAGCAUGGAUCAAACAACAAAUUUGUUUACAGAAAUUAAUUGAACUGACCUAUUUUCCAAUUUUUGGCUAAUGGUUGUAUCUUUGAUUACAGCUAGCAGCUCAUCAAACGUUUGAAGAGUAAUUUUCAUCUGAAAGUUCCCCAUUUUUCAAGUAAGCAAAAAAUCAUUCAUUAGACAUUUUGUUGCCAACUUUACUUCAGCACCUUUACCUCUUGCACUUGGCUUCAAGAAGCUCUGGUAAAAAAAAGUUCGAUGGUAUAAACAUAUUAUUCAGUGAGAAGGGGCUACACUACAAGAAAACAGCGGCAUACCGAGAGAAAAAAAUCAUCGGAAUAACACUAUUCCGACGACAUACCGACGAAAAAAAUCCUCGGAAAUUCAUUUUUCCUCGGAAAUCCCUCGGAAAUUUCCGACGGAAUUCCGAGGAAACUCCGAGGACCACCAGUUCGUCGGAAAGGUCCUCGGAAUAUACCGAGUGAGGACUUCCUCGGGAUAUUUCGAUGGACUUUCGGAUGGUCCAAUCCUCGGAAGUUCUGACGAAAUGUUCCUCGGAAUUUUCAUCGGGAAUUUCCGAGGAACGGAGCCAUCGGAAAAUUCCGAGGAAAUGUUGUCAGAAAUUUCCGAGGGCCCAUUUUCUCGGAAUUUAAAAAAAAAUUAAUUUUUUUAAAAAAUUAAUUUUUUUAAAAAAAUAAAAUUUUUGAAAUUUAAAUUCGAAAAUAUAAAAUUAAAAUUAAAAUUGAAAACAUAUUAGAUAAUAUUCAAAGUUGUACAAAUAAAAAUAAAACAUUCCGAGUUUUUGAAAAAAAAAACUACGGGUCUUGCACGUUCGGGAACACUUCGUUCGGGUACAUCAUCUUUAUCAUCUCCAUCAUUUGCUCAUUCAGCCUCUUAUGUGCCUCAUAGCCCGCCUGUUGAGCCGCCAUCUGGGUCUCCAGCACAGAUAUGCGAUCAUCCUUGUCCUUCAACUGAGCCGUAAGUACUUCUGGAUCAACAAAGGGUGGUGGUGCAGAAAAAGAAGCAGCCGACCGGGAGCGACGACCCAAGCCGACCAAACGUCCCUUCUUCUUUGGAACCGAUUGAAAUAGAAAAUAGCCAAAUUUAAAUAAUAUAAAAAGAUGAUAAAAUAAAAAUCAAGAAAUAAAUAAAUUGAACUUAAAAAAAAAAAAGAAAUUACCGAUUCAAUGAUUCGUUGAUUCGAACCCGAGACAAGUUGGUCGAAGCCGUCGAAUCGUCAUCCUCGGUUUGAAGCUGAGACACUUCGUCUUGCACCUGAGUUUGGACCAGGGUGACCACGUCCCUCACAAGACCAUCAUCAAUCUGGCCGGUCUUCUUGUUGGUAUACGCCCUCUUCAUUAGGGCGAAAUCAUCAACCGGUUCGCCAUCAUUUUCUUCCGCCUUGAAAAAACAUAAAUUAAACAAACAUUAGAAAUUUGAAAAAAUGCACAAAAAAUCAAAUUUCAAAACUUAAAUAAUUGAAGAAAAAACGGCUGAACUUACCAUGCGAUAUCCCAGAGUAGCAAUAGAUUGAGCACCCAAGUUAUGCUUGAAGACGCCAUUCCCGUUACGGUCGCUCCUGCGGUUGGUGAAGUUGGUGGAAGAAGUUUCUUUUGUCUCUUCCUUAUCCCAAUGCGCACACAACUCCUUCCAGAUCGUGUCGUUCAUUGACUUUGGAACCUUUUAAUAAAAAAAAAGAAAAUAGUUAAAUAAAGUAAAAAUAGUUUAAUAAAUUAAAAAAUUGUUUAAUAAAUUAAAAAUAACCUUGUUUAUUUCCCACUUCUUCUUCCACUCGUGGAUCUGCUUCCCAUAGUUGUCCAUAACUUUAUGGACGAAGUGGUGAUAGAUAAAGAGCGUAUCAUCGGAAUUCCAGUUGAAUUCUUGCUGAAAAAAAAACACAAUUAGUAGAAAAUUUAUAUUAAAGAUUAAAAAUAUAAGUAAAAAAUUAGAAUACUUACCGCAAACUGACGAAACCACAGAUGCUACUUGUCGGUAGGAAAGUCUGUGAAAGUCGGAUGUCCCUUGUCGAGGGCCGAGUACAUCAUACGGUUGAUCCAUGCGCUGAUCCCGUUCCCGGAUCGGUUGAACCUAAUAAAAAGAACAAAUUAUUAAUAAUGAAUCAAAUUUUAAUGAAAAUAAAUAAAAGUUUAAUUACCAUGUUUGAUCCCGUCCAUGUGGAUACGGAGUGAAAUAGGGAAGAUGGUCACGACCGGGCUGUCGAACCAACUCCGCAACACUCAUCACUCCCGGAGGACCCGGAGGACCCAGAGGAUAAGGAGCGGGUGCAGCAGCGGGACAGGGAGGAGCAGGAGCGGGUAAUGGAGAGGGAGAUGUAUGGUAGGAGCUGUGGGGCGAAGCGGAAUCCUGAAUAUGGCUGGACGAACACCGAGACUGGCUCCCCGUACCACCACGACCACGACGCUGUCGAGGCCGGGUCUGAUCAUCAUUAGACCUGUAAAUUAAAAAAAAACAUAUUUAAGAAUUAGUUCUAAUAAUUCUAAUAACUAAAAAACAGUUUAAAUAAAAAAUAUUUUAAUAAAUAAAAAAUAGUUUAAUAAUU